rnacentral:rRNA from 1 species
UGGGGAAUAUUGCGCAAUGGGCGAAAGCCUGACGCAGCGACGCCGCGUGAGGGAUGAAGGUCUUCGGAUUGUAAACCUCUUUCAGCAGGGACGAAGCGAAAGUGACGGUACCUGAAGAAGAAGCACCGGCUAACUACGUGCCAGCAGCCGCGGUACUACGUAGGGUGCAAGCGUUGUCCGGAUUUAUUGGGCGUAAAGAGCUCGUAGGCGGUUUGUUACGUCGGAUGUGAAAUCCUGGAGCUUAACUCC